rfam:Coccidioides immitis RMSCC 3703 supercont1.70 genomic scaffold, whole genome shotgun sequence.
GCCUCUGUGGUCUAGUUGGUCAUGACGCCGGUCUCAUAUUCACUUUAUGACGAGUGGUUAACUGCUUGAUAUCCGGAGGUCGCCAGUUCGAUCCUGGCCGGGGGCA